UUCGUUAAUGUUCAUGUUCAACAAAUCUCAACAAAAUAUGAACGAUCAGAAAAGUCCCUGUCAUUUUCCUUCAGUGCUGGUGCAACUUCAAAUUUUGUUGUUAAAUCAGCUGAUUUGUUGAUAGAAUUCUACUUCUUCUGUAUUACUUUUUGCUUUUUCGCAAUAGUCUUCUCUAUUACAUUUUUCGCAUGCCUCUUACCUAUAACCCAAGCCACCAAACUCGUAAACUGUUUAAACGAACGACGAUAAAAGAAAAACAAACAAACGACAAUAAAAUAAAGACAACGAAACCUUCCCCGACCAUUUUUUUGGAGUUUUUGAAAUCGGCAACAGGAAAAGCAGCAGAAACCUAACGAAAACGUGGAUAAAAUGAAGACAUUAAAAAAUACACGGAUACAGCCAAAGGAAUUCAGCAUAAACCAAAAAAAGCUUUACCUGAACGCCCGAUUUCUUUUUGUUCGUCUUCGCCAAUUAAAAUGGAAAAUCCUUCACGCCAGAUGGUGUAGAAAUUAAAUCCAAAGAUAACAUAGCCAGCAGCCUAGGGUUUUAACUAGCCUAAAAAAUUGGUCAGAU
rnacentral:lncRNA from 1 species